rnacentral:misc_RNA from 1 species
AUAAAAUGAUUUUUUUUGGGGUUUUCCCUGAAAAAUAAUUCACCUUUUGUGCACUGUUAUUAGAUAUACUUUGGUUAGAGCUUUGAUUUCAUUUAUUGGAAUCAACUUCUUGCUGACUCUAUCCUUUCUGAGGACAGUUGGCUAUGAAGCGGCCUACCAAGGUUUUUUAUCAAACACUUGUAUUUUGUCUGACCUGAAAUCAAAUAAUUAAAUCA